rnacentral:rRNA from 1 species
UACGUGGGGGGUAAGCGUUGUUCGGAAUUACUGGGCGUAAAGGGCUCGUAGGUGGCCAACUAAGUCCUACGUGAAAUCCCUCAGCUUAACUGGGGAACUGCGUGUGAUACUGGAUGGCUUGGAUUCGGGAGAGGGAUGCGGAAUUCCAGGUGUAGCGGUGAAAUGCGUAGAUAUUGCUCGGAAGGCCGGAGCCGAAGGGGCCCCACUGGUACGUAACUGACGCUGAGGCACGAAAGCGUGGGGAGCAAACAGG